UACAGAGGGUGCAAGCGUUGUUCGGAAUUAUUGGGCGUAAAGGGUGCGUAGGCGGUCUGGCAAGUCUUGUGUGAAAUCUUCGGGCUCAACCCGAAGUCUGCACAAGAAACUGCCGGGCUUGAGUAUGGGAGAGGUGAGUGGAAUUUCCGGUGUAGCGGUGAAAUGCGUAGAUAUCGGAAGGAACACCUGUGGCGAAAGCGGCUCACUGGACCUAACUGACGCUGAGGCACGAAAGCUAGGGGAGCAAACAGG
rnacentral:rRNA from 1 species